GACGAACGCUGGCGGCGUGCUUAACACAUGCAAGUCGAGCGGUAAGGCUCCUUCGGGAGUCCACGAGCGGCGAACGGGUGAGUAACACGUGAGUAAUCUGCCCUUCACUUCGGGAUAACCACCGGAAACGGUGGCUAAUACCGAAUACGACCAGUCUUCGCAUGAGGUGCUGGUGGAAAGUCUUUUCGGUGAAGGAUGUGCUCGCGGCCUAUCAGCUUGUUGGUGGGGUAAUGGCCUACCAAGGCUUCGACGGGUAGCCGGCCUGAGAGGGUGACCGGCCACACUGGGACUGAGACACGGCCCAGACUCCUACGGGAGGCAGCAGUGGGGAGUAUUGGACAAUGGGCGAAAGCCUGAUCCAGCAACGCCGCGUGAGGGAUGACGGCCUUCGGGUUGUAAACCUCUUUCAGUACCGACGAAGCGCCCUGUCGGGUGGUGACGGUAGGUACAGAAGAAGGACCGGCCAACUACGUG
rnacentral:rRNA from 1 species